CAGGAGAGUGAUGCAUAUGGAAGAAGGAGGGGCAGCUCCUGUCCCCAGGUCACUGUGGUGGCUGACAAGGCCCUCAGGAGAGUGCAGCUGGGGAAGGGUUAAACUUUAACCAGCCAGACUCAAACCCUUCCCUGGUCAAACCAGCGCCUGCAGUUGCUGAAGCAAGGAAGACGCUGAGCUGCUGGGCGGCACGCGGGUGAGAAUAAGAAGGAGACACUUUUCCUUAUCUUCCCCCUUAGCUUGCUGGGAUGUUGCCUGGUAGGACAGCAGGAGCCCCCCGGGAGCGUUUCCGCCUCGUCCUGCCUGUGUGGGUGCAUCUUGGUACAGAGCAUCCUUGGAGAAAAGCUUUGUCCCCUGGGUUCUCUCCUUCCUGUCUCUGGAAGCUGCAGGACCCUGAUGAAUGACUCCCAUAUCAUGAUCAAAAAGUCUCCCUAACAGUUUUAGUGUGUUUGUGUCCCCCUAGUUAAGAUAAAUUAGACAGGCUAAUGAGACUGAUUAGUCUUUAGCUGUGACCCUUGGCCUUUAGGAUGUACUUUGAGCUAAUAGAGAGAAUGGGGAUUAUAGGCUGUGAUAAUGUGCUUGUGUUGGCCUUUUAAAGGAAAACACAUUUAUUGCUACUUAGAGGAAAUUGAUCUAAUUGUGCUGGAAGCGUUUCUAUGGACCGAACAUGGAAUUUUUAUUAAGUAGGUGACUCAGGUUCAGCCAACAUUGCCAGAUUUGAAAUGGGCAGGAGAUAUUUCAAGAAGAUUCCACCUGGAAACUCCUGUGGCCGCUUCUCCAACUGAUAAUGAGCUUCACUCAUCCUGACUUUGAUCUGCUGCUCUGCAUGUCAGACGUCGGAGCUCUAGGAAUUUGGACUGCGAUCUCUGGGUCUCAUGGCUCAGGUCCAAACUAACAAAUCAUCUAAGACAACCCGUUGCGUUCGCAUGUUUACUAAGGGUUCAACUAUUUGAUUCCCUUCUCAGUCUUCAAAACAAAAUGGUUCCCUUAGUUACAAGGAUCCCCAGAGGCAAAUGAGGAAACAACAUCAUGCAGACAAUUUUGAGAACAGUAGGGUGCCCAGGGGCCCUAUCCUGCCCUAAAGAUAAGAUUUGAUUUCAUAGCCCAAAGCCUCACAUCUUCUGCUUCAUGCACAAAAGAAGCAGUUGUGCCUCCCAAAAUUUUCUCCAACAAUAUCAGUUGGACUCAUAAAAGACACUGCUUCUUCCUACAAGUCUUACUCUCAUGGGCUCAUGCCCUGGGUGGGUCUGUUCCUCGCUUCCAUCCUCCCUGGAGAGGAUGCAAAACACUGCUGCACUGCAACACUAGUGUUCUCCCUCCACUUGGCACAGGUGCAAGGGACAGCACGAGCAAUGGGGAAACCAAGCCAAGGUCAACACAAACAGGGCUGGAGAGAGUGAGUGUGCAAAUCUUCCUACAGUGAAAAUGCCCAACUGAGUUGCACCGUAGCCAGUGCUGGCCUGGGCUCCCACCAGUAGUGACCCAUUUGCUUUUCAUCUGGACCACAGUGGUGUUUUGUAAAUGUUUUUUGACCUUCCUCACAUCUCAUAUCCACCCUUUGCUGAGCCAGGCUGAGCUGGUUGCCCAGUUUCCCAAAGCUCCAUCUCUAGGUUAUUGGAAGAUGUUUGCUCCAUCUGACUCUAGAGAGAACCGAAGAGAGCUGGGUGUGCAAAUCCCCCCCCCGGGGCAGCUUCCUUCCAUGGAUGUGAUGUCCUAAUAUGUUUUCUCUAUUUCAAUAAAACAGUGGCUGAGUACCUGCUCUAUGAAGCACAGCAGUUCAGCACUCCUUCAUCCCCAUGAAAUCACAAAAAGGCUCUGGCCACGGGUACUGAGGGAACUCAGAGAAGGCCAAAGUGGAACCGUGGGGCUGAGAGCACAGGAGCUGCCACCUUCCCCACCUACGCACCAGUCCCUCCUUUCUGAGAAGAGAUACAGCCGAUCAAAGGUUUAAGCCACAGCCCUGAAGUCAAUGGAAGGACUACUCAGAAGCCACAAAUCGCUUUAUAACGUUCUAUCACAUGUGAUAAGUCCUGUACUUUGCCACCUACCCGUGUCAUGCUUUGAGAUGCUGGGAAAACAGAGAAUAGAGGUAGGAGCAGAUCCUCAGCUAGGAUAACACCAGCUGACUUUUGGAGUGAAGUUAUGAUCAUUUACACCAGCUGUGCUGCUCUUGUCCAAAUUAAAUAGAAAGAGCAGCCAAUUUGUAACUGCCUCGCUGGAGAUAAUACUGAGAUUCCUCAAAGAAUUGCAGAGUUACAGUCCCUGUUUGUUAAAUAUCUCUGUUGCAGACACCCAGGAAAAUGAAAAUCCUGCACAGUGUUUUGUAGGUUUGCUUAGAAAAACCCAGGAAUGGUAUUAGUAGCAAAUCCAUAUCACCUCAGGGCUGAUCCUACCGAACCACACUAGAUGGGCACUGAACUCAGGCUGAACUGAGACAGGCUGAUCAUAAAUAAAGCUAUUUGUGAAAGUAAGUUUCAAGAAAUAAGCCUGUUGACAGAUAAACCAGAUAAUUUUAA